UGGAGGCAGCAGUGGGGAAUUUUCCGCAAUGGGGGGAACCCUGACGGAGCAAUACCGCGUGAGGGAGGAAGCUUUUUGGAGUGUAAACCUCUUUUCUUAGGGAAGAAGAUGACGGUACCUAGGGAAUCAGCAUCGGCUAACUUCGUGCCAGCAGCCGCGGUAAUACGAGGGAUGCAAGCGUUAUCCGGAAUUAUUGGGCGUAAAGCGUUCGUAGGUGGUUGUGUAAGUCAGUUUUCAAAGAGUCCAGCUUAACUGGAUAAAGGGGAUUGAAACUGCGCGACUAGAGUUAGGUAGGGGUAAGAGGAAUUCCUAGUGUAGCGGUGAAAUGCGUAGAUAUUAGGAAGAACACCAGUGGCGAAAGCGUCUUACUGGGCCAUAACUGACACUGAGGGACGAAAGCUAGGGGAGCGAAAGGGAUUAGAUACCCCGGUAGUCCG
rnacentral:rRNA from 1 species